GUGGUGGUAGGCGCCUGUAGUCCCAGCUACUCAGGAGGCUGAGGCAGGAGAAUGGCCUGAACCUGGGAGGCGGAGCUUGCAGUGAGCCGAGAUCGCACCACUGCACUCCAGCCUGGGUGACAGAGCAAGACUCCAUCUCAAAAAAAACAAAACAAAACAAAACAAAACUGAAAGUGUGUUUUCUGGAAUUGAGAUUGUCUUGGAUCUGUAGGGUUCUCAAGGGUACAAUGAGGAUCAAGGAAUUAAAGCCCCAGGGAAGCAGAUUUCAUUUUUUUUUUUUUUGGGAGGUGGGACAGAGUCUUGCUAUGUCUCCCAGGCUGAAGUGCAAUGGUGCAAUCUCAGCUCACUGCAACCUCUGCCUCCCAGGUUCAAGCGAAUCUCCUGCCUCAGCCUCCUGAGUAGCUGGGAUUACAGGUGCCUGCCACCAUGCCCGGCUAAUUUUUGUAUUUUUAGUAGAGAUGGGAUUUCAUCGUGUUGGCCAAGCUGGUCUCGAACUCCUGACCUUGUGAUCCACCUAUCUAGGCCUCCCAAAGUGCUGGGAUUAUAGGCGUGAGCCACUGUGCCUGGCCAGCUGAUUUCAAUUUCAUACAAGGAAGUACAUUCUAAUGGUGGAGUCUAGCUGAGGAAAGGGUGGAGAACCUCGAGAGAGAGUGGUUUUCCUGUCCCUGGGGUAUUCAGGCAGAAAGAGGAGAUGGCCAUGUAGCCAUGGAUGCUGCAGAGGGGAAAUGAAUGUCAGGCAGAUUGUUCUGCUCAUUUCAUCGGUCCUGCUCACUCUGAGAUAGUAUGGUUCUGACAUCCACUUCCACACCUAACUCCCCUAUGUCUCUACUCUUGUUGACACCCAGAACCGUCUUGUGUUUUUGCCAGAUAUUCCAUGGCUCACAUUUACUGUGACUGUGUUUUUUUUUGUUGUUGUUGUUGUUGUUUGUUUUUUUUUUUGAGAUGGUGUCUUGCUCUGUCACCUAGGCUGGAGUGCUAGAGUGCAGUGGCGCGAUCUCGGCUCACUGCCACCUCUGCCUCCCGGGUUCAAGCAAUUCUCUGCCUCAGCCUCCCGAGUAGCUGGGAUUACAGGCGCCUGCCACCACACCCAGCUAAUAUUUUGUAUUUUUAGUAGAGAUGGGGUUUC
rnacentral:lncRNA from 1 species